UACAGGGGGGGCAAGCGUUGUUCGGAAUUACUGGGCGUAAAGCGCGCGUAGGCGGCUUUGCAAGUCGAUUGUGAAAUCCCCAGGCUUAACCUGGGAACUGCAUUCGGGACUGCAUAGCUAGAGUAUGGGAGAGGGAAGUGGAAUUUCAGGUGUAGCGGUGAAAUGCGUAGAUAUCUGAAGGAACAUCAGUGGCGAAAGCGACUUCCUGGACCAAUACUGACGCUCAUGUGCGAAAGCGUGGGGAGCAAACAGG
rnacentral:rRNA from 1 species